AAAUCAUGAUGAGGACAUCUCCUUGAAAGUUCCCCAAACCGCUCCCAUACCUCGAAUAAGGAUUCUGCUUCAUAUUGUUGGAAACAACAUAUUUCUGUCAUAAGCUU